rnacentral:lncRNA from 1 species
AUUCCCUAAAGUAGCUGUAAAAAUGCUGCGCUAUGCAAAUCACCUCAACCAUUUAAGUCUUUGACACUGCCUACAAAAAUAGCUGCCCAUAAAAGAGAAUCAGAUGCGGUGAAUAAUUCACAUGCAUGCCCUUGUGUGGGCGGGAGCUGGGUGCUGUUUGCUUUGACGUGGUGAAACCCACAGUUAGAAUCCAGACUUCUACCUAGAAUCUCAGUCUGAACACUUUCAAGGCAUUGACAGUCGCAGAACUGAAAUGAAUGAAGGUUCUAGUCACGGAGCCGUGAGUUGCCAUAGUUUUUGAUGACUUAUUUUUAUUUUUGUUCUCUCCUUACCCCAAGGGGCUUGUCCUGUGCAUUUAACCUUGACACCUAUGAAGUCAUGCAUUUCCAGAGAACCUGGAGGACUGCAGGCACCAAAGAAUGAGGGUAGAGACAAUGUAACAGCAAGA